rnacentral:rRNA from 1 species
UACGGAGGGAGCUAGCGUUAUUCGGAAUUACUGGGCGUAAAGCGCACGUAGGCGGCUUUGUAAGUUAGAGGUGAAAGCCUGGAGCUCAACUCCAGAAUUGCCUUUAAGACUGCAUCGCUUGAAUCCAGGAGAGGUGAGUGGAAUUCCGAGUGUAGAGGUGAAAUUCGUAGAUAUUCGGAAAGAACACCAGUGGCGAAGGCGGCUCACUGGACUGGUAUUGACGCUGAGGUGCGAAAGCGUGGGGAGCAAACAGG